rnacentral:rRNA from 1 species
ACCUGCCGAAUGAAUUAGCCCUGAAAAUGGAUGGCGCUGAAGCGGGUGGCCGACACCACACCGUGUGAAUAAUUAUUUGUCGAAAUUACAUGAGUAGGAGGGCGUUGCGGGCGUGGAGAAGCAUGGGCGUGAGCCCGUGUGGAACGGUCCGCUAGUGCAGAUCUUGGUGGUAGUAGCAAGUAUUCAAGCGAGAACCUUGAAGGGCGAAGCGGGGAAGGGUUCCACGCGAACAUUGAUUGGGCGUGGGUGAGUCGUUCCUAAGCCGAGUGGCAAUUGCUAAGUAUUAUGGCGAAAGGGAAGCGGGUUGACAUUCCCGCACACGGAUGUGGAGCGCGGCGACGCGUAAUGGGGUGAACACGCUGGCGAUGGCGCUGGGCAGAGUUGUCUUUUCUGUUUGACCGAGUGUGCGCGCUGUGUGGAAUCCGCUUGUCGGGAGAAACACGCCUGCACGGGCAGAGCGCCGGGGCUUUUCCGGCGUCCAGCUCGCCAUCGACGGCCCUUGAAACUUUGCCUGCUGAAAUAAAUCCACGCCGUGGCGUACCGAUCACCGCAUCAGGUCCCCGAGGUGAACAGCCUCUGCUCGAUAUGAACAAUGCAGGUAAGGGAAGUCGGCAAAUUGGACCCGUAACUUUGGGAAAAGGGUUGGCUCUAGUGCUGCGUGGGAGAGGUUGUCCGUGUGUGGGGGCGGAGGGUGCGCUGGCUCUGGCGCGGGAUCUCUGGUUCGUCCGGAGCACCUGUUCUGGGCUGCUUACUCACUGCCUUCCACCUCAGACGACGCCCACGGCAUGCAGCAGACUAGAACUGCAACGGGCAAAGGGAAUCCGACUGUUUAAUUAAAACAAAGCAUUGAGAAGG